GACGAACGCUGGCGGCGUGCUUAACACAUGCAAGUCGAACGGAAAGGCCCUGCUUUUGUGGGGUGCUCGAGUGGCGAACGGGUGAGUAACACGUGAGUAACCUGCCCUUGACUUUGGGAUAACUUCAGGAAACUGGGGCUAAUACCGGAUAGGAGCUCCUGCUGCAUGGUGGGGGUUGGAAAGUUUCGGCGGUUGGGGAUGGACUCGCGGCUUAUCAGCUUGUUGGUGGGGUAGUGGCUUACCAAGGCUUUGACGGGUAGCCGGCCUGAGAGGGUGACCGGCCACAUUGGGACUGAGAUACGGCCCAGACUCCUACGGGAGGCAGCAGUGGGGAAUAUUGCACAAUGGGCGGAAGCCUGAUGCAGCAACGCCGCGUGCGGGAUGACGGCCUUCGGGUCGUAAACCGCUUCCGCCUGUGACGAAGCGUGAGUGACGGUAAUGGGUAAAGAAGCACCGGCUAACUACGUG
rnacentral:rRNA from 1 species